CUAGGGUACUACAUAAAUUACCACUGAGCUAGUCGCUUUUUUCUGUGCUUUCCCUGUUUGAAGAGGAUGGAAGUAGCUGAUUCCUUUCUAAUUAUUAUUUGAAGGUGCAGUCUGGAAUCCAUUGUUGAGGGAAUAGACCCCGAUUAAAGAAAACGGGGAGAAUAUUUUCAUGUUUAGCAAAGGUACACAAGAGAUGCGAACUAAAAAUAGUCUGUGGCUACUUCGUCUGCAGCAUAACCUCUCUGCAUGUAUCUAUCUGCCUAUUGAUUUGCCCACCAGCAUCAUAGAAUUUCUAAGUGUCUGAGAACCAGUGCUUCAUACUCUGUGCCUCUUUGAAGUAGACUGAAGUAGCUGCAUACAGGUGAUCCUGUUUGUAAAAAUCAAAGAUCUAACAGCCUCCUUUUCCGUGGAAUAAAUA
rnacentral:lncRNA from 1 species